AUGGGCGCCUCCGCCUCCGUCCUAUCUCUUCCCGUGGCCGCCUCCUUCCCUGGCGCGGCCACCGCUAUCGCGGGCGCCGCCGGCUGCUUCGCGCUCGGCUACUUCCUCGCCCUCGCCCGCCUCCCCAUCCACGCCGCCGCCGCCCCCGACUCCGGCGACGACGAUUCCGAGGACGACUCGGACGAAGAUGAUGACGAAAAUUCCGGCCGCGCCCGGCCGGCGAAGCGAGCCGCCGGGCGGAAGCGGACCGGGCUCAGGCUGCUGUUCUGGUCCCGGAACGUGGUGACCAAGUCCGACUCCGCCAGGGAAGCCGAGAGGGCGCAGGUCCAGACCGCCGCCGCCCCCCUGGAGAUCGAGAACCUCGCCAAGAUAAUAGAGGAUUUCAAGAUGGUGCAGGUGCAGGUGAGAAACGACCUGAAGAUGGGAAAGGGGAAAAUCGCUGCGCAAUGCAGGGACCAGGGCAGGAAUUAA
rnacentral:rRNA from 1 species